rnacentral:rRNA from 1 species
UAAAGAAAUUGACGGGAGUGUGCCAGCAGCCGCGGUAAACUCAAAGAAAUUGACGGGACGUGUGCCAGCAGCUGCGACAAACCAGUGUGCCAGCAGCCGCGUGCCAGUAACCGUGUGCCAGCAGCCGCGGUAAUACAGAGGGUGCGAGCGUUGUUCGGAAUUAUUGGGCGUAAAGCGCUGGUAGGUGGCUUGUUAAGUCGCGUGUGAAAGCUCCAGGCUCAACCUGGAAAGGGCGCGCGAAACUGGCAAGCUUGAGUGCCGGAGAGGGUCGCGGAAUUCCCGGUGUAGAGGUGAAAUUCGUAGAUAUCGGGAGGAACACCAGAGGCGAAGGCGGCGACCUGGAAGGUAACUGACACUGAGCAGCGAAAGCGUGGGGAGCAAACAGGAUUAGAUACCCUGGUAGUCCACGCCGUAAACGAUGUGUGCUAGACGUUGGGGAGCCUAGCUUCUCGGUGUCGCAGCUAACGCGGUAAGCACACCGCCUGGGGAGUACGGCCGCAAGGUUAAAACUCAAAGAAAUUGACGGGA